CUAUUCACUUCAGCAACACACAUAUUACAAUUAGAGUAAUAUAGAGAAAAUCUGCAUGACCCCUAUACAAGAAUGACACAAAUUUGAGAAGUGUUUUGUAUUGUU
ensembl:snRNA U6 U6 spliceosomal RNA